UAUAAGAUACAGGAUCAAGUUACAGUCAUAGAAGAAAAACUUUACUGAGAGAGCACCAUGAGGAGUUUGUGCUUGACUCUGGGGCUGCUGCUGCUGCUCUCCAUCUACUGCUCUGGACAGAUGAUUGGUUCACUGUGCUGCUUCAAUGUUCAAGAUCGCCGUCUGCCAAUAAGACUUGUGGCUGGAAUAAAGAGGACCCACAACUCUUGCCCACGGAAAGCAUUCAUAGUCGAGACUACUACUGGAAAACACAUCUGCUACAGUGAGACUUCUCGAUGGAUUCAACGAAUCUUACCUAAAUUCAUCAAAACUGAAGACGGUGGUCAGCCACAUACCCUGAUAACAUUGGGUGAAGACUAAAAUAAUCAAUCAAUGAACACAACAAAAACUUACUGAAAAUUAUGUUAAUUCUUUUCAGCCUUGUUUAUUGUUCAGUAUUGGUAACUGUGUACGUUAUAUUAUUCUGAGUAAAAUGUAAAUUGUAUUUUUGCAUCAAGUUUUUCUUUCCUCAUAAGUGUAAGAAUGUUUAAUGACCAUAAGCAGUGAAAUAAUUAGGUUUAUACAAGUAACAGCAAAUUAGAUCUACUUAAAAAAAAAAAAGUUUCCUUCGCUCGAUGUUCAGUUUACAUAUUUGUACUGAAAAAAUAACCGAGAUUAAUAGUGGAAAUUAUUUCCCUACAGUCGGUGAUGUUACUUAUACAUUUUAAGCUAAAAGAUAUGACUUCAUCCUUAAAUUUAAAAAAUGUAAAUGUGAUUGAUCUUUGCUGGUUAUGAAAAACAUGAUUUUAAAAUGUUCCAGUCAGCUUGUCGAGACAUCCAGAAUCAACUUUCUUUGUCUCGGGUUUAGUCCCUGAUGAAGUGAACUCUGUACUUGUCACAUGCAGAUAUUUGGCCAGGAAUCCAAAAGUCAUGUUUUGUUUCCUUCACAGAGCCAUUCAUUACAAGAGCCAUUUGUAAAUGCCCUCACAAUUGAGAAAUUGAAACACCACCAGCAUUUCAUACAGCUGACACAAGUACGACAACAGAAACACGCAAGAUAAACAUUAGGAUAUUAAAGUCUUUUUUUUCAGUUUUUUCAGUUUUCAGAGUUGAUAAUAAUGCCUUUUAUGACAUGAUAGAUACUGAACAUAUCAAUACAAAGGCAUCAUCUUCGUUGUAUUUUGCUGUCAAAAGAAUUUUAUUUUCAAAAAGGUCAAACCAAUGCCACAUUUAUAGACACAGUUGAUUUAUGUUGAGAAUAAAAAAUUUGAAUCUAUGUUAAACAGUUAAGAACUAAAUGAGACUGCAGACAAGAUCUUUCAUUACAGAGACUCAUUUUUCCCUGGAUUGUGCUACAAAGAAAUGCAACCUCUUUGGCUUUCCAGACAGACUGUAAUUUCUCAGCAUGCAGGGCGUGUCCCAGCAGGGAGGACUCAUCAUUCCAGGGAAACAUCAAAUUAGUGGACAAAGGUUUUGAAUACUGAAUGUUGACUUUAUUGCUUAACCAUUAUAUCAACAUAUUCUGCGUUUAUAAUCAAGUACUUUUCAUGCCAAACAAAGUAAUAAUCAAAUAAAAGAUGAAAAACUGAA